UACGAAGGGGGCGAGCGUUGUUCGGAUUUACUGGGCGUAAAGGGCGCGCAGGCGGCUCAUUUUGUCAGGCGUGAAAGCCCCGGGCUUAACCUGGGACUGCGUUUGAUACGGAUAGGCUAGAGUUCGGGAGAGGAGAGUGGAAUUCCCAGUGUAGAGGUGAAAUUCGUAGAUAUUGGGAAGAACACCGGUGGCGAAGGCGGCUCUCUGGACCGAUACUGACGCUGAGGCGCGGAAAGCGUGGGGGAGCAAACAGG
rnacentral:rRNA from 1 species